UCCCCCCCCCCCCGUUUAGUCCCUUCUCCAUUUUCUGGGGCUCCUGAGUAGUGAGCUGAGAGGUGGAGGAAGCCCUUCCCGGCAGCAUGCCGUCCAGUGAAUGACGCAUCAGAGUCAGGUCCCUCCCUCUGGGGGAGGGUUGCCCAGGCCGAGCGCCCAGCCUUCCUGGAUCAGCCCGCUCCCGUGAGGUGAGGCGUGGAGGUGGCAUAUAUCCCCUGGAUUUCCCCAUCCCGUCCUAGGGGCAGCCCAGAGGGCAGGGCCAGGAGAGGACUGGACGGUGAGGGGGUGGUCUUCAGCUGCCUCCCUCCCUGGGGGCCGUGGUGGUCCCCCGCAGGAGCCGUGUCCGCAGGCCAAGAACAGAACCAGCCACCACACACCUGCCUGCCCAGCCUGGACCCCACCCUUUAGGUUCUUCUGGUCCUGCCCGAAGAACCAUUUCCUGAGCCUCGGUAUGGUACACAAGGAAAGAAAGAAACUGUGAGGGCAGAAGGAAGGCGAUCUGGGCUGGGCUGAGAACCAGUUUCCAGGAUCACAGUCUCCCAGCAAGACACCCCAAGCCGCUUCUGGACUUUGCUCCCCAGUUAUCACCACAGGCAGGCUGUGGAGGAGGAGCGAGGACGCUGAAGAAAGGAGUAUUCAUCUGUUUCUGCCAGGCAUGUGCUGGGCGCAGGGCCAGAGAGGCGAGGGACUUGGCGGCCCUGUCCUCUGCCAGCAGGCGGAACCGAGCCCACACUGUGAAGAGAGGCAGAAACCCCUGGUGGGAGCUGGACGAGCUCAGCGGGAGGGACAGGUGGUACCUCUGCCCAGAGGAAGAAGAACAGAUUUCACGGAGAGGCCAAGAGAAAAGACAACUUCACGACAGGAGGAGGGGACAGUGGCCAGAAGCCCCAAACAGUAAAGAAAGUUUCUGUUUAGGAAGAGGAAGACAGAUGAUGGAUGGAUGGCAACAGUUACACCUGGAGAUGGGUGGUGGUGACAGUUGCACAACAUGUGAAUGUACUUAGAGCCACUGAACACUUAAAAAAUGGUUAAAAUGGUAAAUUUUGUGUUAUGUAUAUUUUCACAAUUUUUUAGUGACGUAUAGUUGACUUACAAUGUUGUGUUAAUUACUGCUGUACAGCAAAG